CCACCUUCACGUCGGCCACCUCCACCAUAACCGCCGCUGCCACUUCCAUACCUGCCACCUCUUCCUCCACCUUCACGGCGACCACCUCCACCUUCGCCGCCACCUCCGCUUCCACGAGACUGAGCCUCAUUAAUGGUGAUGUUGCGGCCGUCGAGGUCCUGACCGUUCAUUCCUUCAAUGGCGUCCCUCAUCGACUUCUCAUCCUUGAAGGUAACGAAUCCGAAACAUCUAGAUCUGCCUGUCUCACGGUCAUUGAUGAUCUGCACAUUAAAAAUCAUUUAUCUAUCAGAUCUACCAUAAAAAUAACUGAAAUACAGAUUUCAACAUAGAUUUUUGUAUAUAAAAGUUAAAUCGGAAAUCGAUCGAUCUUUGCCUCAUGGAACAGGACGAAGAUGAACGUACUCUUCAUAAGCGAGCUACCUUUCUUUGAUCCUGUAAGGAAGACAACGGAAAUGAACUGCUUAUGGUGGUCAAGGUGGGUUUGAGGAUCUCUUGCGGUGGUCAAGGUGGAUUGCAGAGUUUUUGAUAGAUUUUAGAUUUUGUUGUUUUUGAUCUGAGAUGGUAAAGAUUUUAGAUAGUUUUGUUGUUUUUAUUUAGUUUAAAUGAUUAAUAUAAAUCAUUUGACGAAUUUGUCCUUAAUAUAUAAUAAAUGUGUAAAUAAAUAUUAAAAUAAAUUUUUUUAUUUA
rnacentral:lncRNA from 1 species